rnacentral:rRNA from 1 species
CCUACGGGAGGCAGCAGUGGGGAAUAUUGCACAAUGGGGGAAACUCUGAUGCAGCGACGCCGCGUGAGCGAUGAAGUAUUUCGGUAUGUAAAGCUCUAUCAGCAGGGAAGAAAAUGACGGUACCUGACUAAGAAGCCCCGGCUAACUACGUGCCAGCAGCCGCGGUAAUACGUAGGGGGCAAGCGUUAUCCGGAUUUACUGGGUGUAAAGGGAGCGUAGACGGUCCUGCAAGCCAGAUGUGAAAGCCCGGGGCUCAACCCCGGGACUGCAUUUGAAACUGUAAGGCUAGAGUGCCGGAGAGGCAAGCGGAAUUCCUAGUGUAGCGGUGAAAUGCGUAGAUAUUAGGAGGAACACCAGUGGCGAAGGCGGCCUGCUGGACGAUGACUGACGUUGAGGCUCGAAAGCGUGGGGAGCAAACAGGAUUAGAUACCCCUGUAGUC